rnacentral:rRNA from 1 species
UACGAAGGGGGGCUAGCGUUGCUCGGAAUCACUGGGCGUAAAGGGCGCGUAGGCGGCCAUUCAAGUCAGAGGUGAAAGCCCAGGGCUUAACCCUGGAAUUGCCUUUGAUACUGUUUGGCUUGAGACCGGAAGAGGUAAGUGGAACUGCGAGUGUAGAGGUGAAAUUCGUAGAUAUUCGGAAGAACACCAGUGGCGAAGGCGACACACUGGGCCAUUACUGACGCUGAGGCGCGAAAGCGUGGGGAGCAAACAGG